CAGAUUUCUUUUAUGUGAAAGAGAAGUAAGCUUCUGUCUUGUGUAAGUCACUGUUAUUGUUGGGCUUUCUGUUACUCACAGUCAGAGCUCAUUCCAAGUGAUGCAGGUGCAAGUAACUGAAUACCUGAAAGCAAGAAGACGUUUUAAUUAUCUCCUUUAACCAAUCUGAAAAGAGAAGGUUCCGCAGGUUCCUCCAUUGUUGAUGGUUGCGUCUGCAGCCUGGAUCACUGUCUCUGCGGUUCUCCCGGUCACAGGGUGGGCUCAGCAGCUCCAAACAUGUCCUCACACAGCAGCAAUAUUCCAGGCAGAAGGAUGAAGAUGGGCUGAUAGGCGAUAGGAAUGCUCCUCACACAGCUGUCCUGAUACCUUGGGAAAAACCCUUCCCAGAAGCAGCCAAACUGAUUUCCCUUGGUAUCUCAUUGGCUAGACCCUAGCUGUAAGGGAUGCUGGGAUGAGGAGCCUGGAUUUUCCGCCUCUGUAGUGAGAGGCAGGUGAAGGUCUUUCCCCACUGGCACGUCUUGCAAGAAGGAAGACAGGAGAGCUGGAGCCAGAGAGCUGGGCUCUUGCUGGAGCCCUGAUGGACAGCACAGUUACUGAGGAUUUCAUGAGACAAGUCAGGCGCCUCUAAUUCCUGGCUCCAGGGAGAGCCUGUCUCUAUACCUGGAUGGCGCUAACUAUUUAUGAAGUGCAUCUUGUCCCUCCUGAGCAUCCGUUUUGCUUCUCUCGGCACCAGCCCCUCAGGAAAUUCCCAGCAGACCCUCAGCGUGUGCUGCAGAGUGAUGCCUCCUCAGCUCGACUGCAGACAUCCUUCCAGCAGGGGACUCUUUCUAAGCCCUAAACCCUAAACGGGCUUCAUUUCAGUGCUUUUGUUAACACUCUCUGCAGGGGAUGGGAGGGGACAGAGGUGGGUGCAGCGGUGGAGGAAGGGGCUGGGACUCCCUGUGGAGGAGGUGCCACUUAGUUCUGGGUCCCUGGAGUCCCCGGACACUGCGGCAGACAGUGCAAAAUGAGCCUGCAUCUGUCUGCCCAAGUCUCUGAGGGGUCUUGCCUGUCAGUCUGUGGGCCAGCUCCGCACCUUAUUUCUCAAUCAGCAUCUCCAGUGCCUGGUGGGCUGGGCUGGUGGGGGAUAUGAUGGUCAGGAUGCCCUGUGAAAGAAGGCCUGUAAUCCUUGCGAUGUGGAGAUUCAGCAUGGGCUGUGGGGUUCCUUCCUUUUGCUCGUGCUCUGCCCACAUGUGGUCACUGAGCACCUAUUUCCUACCAGGCUCUGGGUCAGCCCUUGGGGACUCGGUGGUGGACAGGAAACACCUGCCCUGCCCCUCCCAUCCCCUUGCUGAGGCACUGCCGUGUCUCUCAGCUGGAUUAUGGCAAAGCAGAGCAAGCCUGCGGCGAAACAGACAGACUAUAGAGCCAGACACCCGGGUUGGCUCUCAGCUCUGCCUUGUCUCUGCCUGGUAACUUUGGGCAAAUAACUUUCCCUCUCUGUGCCUCAGUGUUCUCAUCUGUAAGAUGGGGAUAAUCAUCUUACCUAGAUUAUACAGUUGUCAUAAAGUUUAAUAGAUUGGUGAUUGUAAAAGAGCCUGGAGCAGGGCCUGGAACCUGGUAAUUAAAUACAGUAAUCGAAUAAUAAAUAACAUUAUCCUGCUGCUUUUUGUGUCACUCUCUUCUAAGCCAUUCUAUGCAUUCUAUACCCAUUUGAACUACCUAGAGGAUAGGUUUGAUCAUGAUAAAAUCGGUCAAGGACUUCUUUGUUUGAAGUCCAAACUUUUGCAUGACCUUCAGAUCCCUGCUUUUCUAUCCUCCUGCCCAUUGCAUUUCCUCACUGUAUCCCCACGCCCACUCCUCAUCCCUGUCAGCCUUGCAGCCAUCCACGUGGUCUGCCAUGUGCUAAACCUGCUGUACUUUCUCAUACCCUGCUUCACCUGGGGACCUUUCCUCUUCCCUCUUUACCUCCUGGGAGACCUGCAUGGGUCCUUAAAGAAGAGGUUCAAGUAGAGGUUUGUGUUUGAAGGUAGAAGCCUUCCAUCAUUUCCCUCAUGUGUUUGUUGGUAGAAGCCUUCCCCCAUUUUUCCUUCCCUAACCGAAGCCAACCUCCCUCUUGCCUGCGCCCCAUCGACUGUCUACCUGGGUCUGCUGCGUUGGGCAGUGUUUUGUAGUCAUCUGAGCAAGCGCCUGUCUUCCAUCAAACCCUGGCCAUACUGACUUCCUCUCUGAGUGGUCUUAGCAAAUGGUGGUUGAAUGAAUGAAUAAACCAGGUGCUUGAUGAACAGCUGUUAGACUAGAAUGAAGAAGCAGGUGACCUCAUUUCAGCUUUACAACUACCCCUGAUGCAAGAGGGGAAACACUCAGAGCUAGUUGGGAAAGACCUGCUGCUUGGCACUGUCGGUGACUACUGGCUGGCCCCUGGAUGGGCUGCCAGUAAGGCCCAGAUCUGUCUGACCCCUGGGACAGGGCUCAUUCCCCCUACCCCUUUAGCACAAGUUCUUUGCCUGGGAAGAAUAGACUGAUGGGCGCAAAAUGUUGUCUUUUCCAAAGAUGCCUGCCAUAGUAUCUCCAUGCAGUAUGCUCUUCUGUGACUUUACCCACUUCCCAUCUGGAGGUGGACUCCUAUCCUGCUUGCUUUGGAUCUGGGCUGAGCUUGGGCCUGCUUGACCAACAGAAUGCAAUGAAAGUGAUGUACCAAGACUUCCAAGAGGAGGCCGUAAGAAGCCUUGCAGGUUCUGCCUGGCUUCCUUGGAUGUGAUGUGCCCUCUAGGAAGCCAGUGGCCAGGCUAUGAGAUGGCCAGACCACGUGGAGAGGCCACGUGUGGGUGCUCCCAUGGAUGACAGCCCAGGCACGUGAGGGAGCCAUCUGGGCUGUCCCAGCAGUCAGACCUUCAGAUGACUUCAGCCCCAGAGGACAUCUGACUGAAGUCCCAUCUGGGACCUGGAGUGGGUACUGCCCAGCUGGGCCCAGUGCAUCCACAGGAACAUGAGAGGUGAUGAUAGACACAGGCUUGUUUUUGGUCACCAAGCUUUGGGGUGGCAGUUAGAUUAACAAACCACUGGACUCAGUGCCAGCUGGAGGAGGACGAAGACAUGAUGCUGAGCCCUGUCUCCGGGGACAACUCUGGGGGGCCUCUGGCCUAGAGUUCUCAGGAUGUGAAGGGACUAUAGGUGGGACUCAUUUGAUCCUCAGAGCCACCUUAGACUCUACAGACUGCCCUGAGGCAAAAGUAAAGGGAGGGUUGGGAUGACCUUAGGCUGUAAGAAAUAACCAGAGUAUAAUGCAUUCUGCCCCAGCCCUUUCUCUGUCCACUCCUCCAGGAAAAUGGCCUAGGUGCUUGGGAUGUGGCAGGGGGAAGGAAAAUGGUGACAAAGCACCCACUCUGUGCUAGGCGGUUGACCUCAUUAUGUCCUUGCCCUUCAUCCAUUUGGUAAAAGUGGGAGCAUCACUCCUAGUGUACAGAUGAGGAAACCAGGUCAGAAAUGUUCAGCAGUGGGUCCACACAGCUAGCGAAUAGUGAACCUGGCCAAGCCCAGGCCUGCGUCUGUCAUGUUGACGAUGUUGGAAUGGUCUCAACCAUCCUGGGAGUGUUCCUGGGUCCUCUCUUCAGCCCCCAUCUGCUGGCCAGCGCCGGAAAUCCCCUCAUCAUUGCUUUGCUGCUUUGGCUUAAAUCCUGGAUCCUGCCGAUGCUAAUUCAUCUGGAAGGAUGAUGCAUUAAGAUCUUAGUAACCGCUCACCCUGGUUGCAUUGAGGCCCCGUAGCUCCCCUGGGAGACUGUCUCAGUGGGAGGCAGUGUGGGGUGAUGGGCUGUCUGCAGGUGGGGAAGAGAGGAGGUGGCGCCAGAGGAUUGCAACGUGGCUCCCUCUCCAUUCUUUUCAGGUGGAGCCAGUGGUGAAUUUGGAAACAGACAAAAUACAUCCUUAGCACUUGCACAAGACCAGCCCCAUCCCCUGCCUUAGGUCAAGCUUCCCCUCACCCAGUGGCAGCUCUUGAGAACGUCCAAAUCAGCAGGGGGAAAAAAUUGCUGACGGAAACUCACAGCUAGCAAAGGCUAGCACCAGCUCUCCAGACCCCAGUGAAGAGUGCCUUUCCCCAGAAGGCCGGGCCCCAUCUUGGGUGCAGACCCCAGCAGAGCAUAAGGCUUACCAGGAGAGCCUACCUGAGGAGCCUAUUGCAGCAGAAAGUGCCCUGAAAUACAGCCCAGGGCUAAAGUCCAUAGUAAGUCAGGGCUGGCAGGCUGACCCGCUUCUCAGAGCCCUGGAGUCCUGAACUAUGAAAUGUACAUGGUCCUUCUUGCUCUGUCCACUUGUGGAAGCUGUUGGGAGGACUUCGCUUCUGGCCACUUGGAAUAACAGGCACUGGAUCUAGCUUCCUGUCUGAACAAAAAAUAGAACAUACGAAACCGCAAUUUUCAAGACAUUGGGCAUCAGUAAGUGAAGUGCUGUGAUCCCCGAGGGAAGGGAAACAAGUAAGGUGGGGAAACUGAGGCCAGGAAGGGCCCGGCCCUUGGC
ensembl:lncRNA